rnacentral:lncRNA from 1 species
CUCCUCCUCCCUAACCCAAAUCCAACAAAUCCGUAACCGGAAGACCGUCCACGCACCGCUCUACCUUCCAACCUUCUCGCUCUCUCGCUGGGAGCCAUCGCGACAUUCUCGUGGGCGUCCUUCCGGUUCCGCACCGGCUGAUGAAACUCCUUUAUAAGAGCCCGGAGGUUAAGGUUGUGGCGAUGGAUUGGAUUCUGAGGCACCAUGGUGUUGGGCUUGGAUCGAUUCUAUUGCUUCUCUUCUCUAAAUGCUCUUCGUGGUUAGUCUUUUUUCGAAGCUUUCUAUCUAUAUAUCUUCUAUCGAAAUUCAUUCAAGAAACUUCAAUUUUCAGAUAGAAGGAAACGAUCAGCAAAAAGAGUUGAUCUUGUUCUGAAAAUAUUGUUAUAUUUUUUAUAACAUAAAUAAAUGUCCUUUUAAUAUUUUGCAUUAUUCUCUUAUCGACUUUGAUUGCUGGCUAUCAUCAGAAAAAAAGAAAAAAAACAUUGAUUAAUGAUUGCUGGCUCUACCAGUUGCUUGCGCUGUCUGG